UACAGAGGGUGCAAGCGUUAAUCGGAAUUACUGGGCGUAAAGCGUGCGUAGACGGUUAUGUAAGUCGGGCGUGAAAGCCCCGGGCUCAACCUGGGAAUGCCAUUCGAGACUGCAUAGCUAGGGUGCGGAAGAGGGAAGCGGAAUUUCCGGUGUAGCGGUGAAAUGCGUAGAUAUCGGAAGGAACACCAGUGGCGAAGGCGACUGCCUGGACGACACCUGACGCUGAGGCGCGAAAGCUAGGGGAGCAAACGGG
rnacentral:rRNA from 1 species